AUACGGAGGGUGCGAGCGUUAAUCGGAAUUACUGGGCGUAAAGCGUACGUAGGCGGUUUGCUAAGUCAGAUGUGAAAGCCCCGGGCUUAGCCUGGGAACUGCAUUUGAUACUGGCAGACUAGAGUAUGAUAGAGGGGGGUAGAAUUCCUGGUGUAGCGGUGAAAUGCGUAGAUAUCAGGAGGAAUACCAGUGGCGAAGGCGGCCCCCUGGAUCAAUACUGACGCUGAGGUACGAAAGCGUGGGGAGCGAACAGGAUUAGAAACCCUAGUAGUCC
rnacentral:rRNA from 1 species